rnacentral:misc_RNA from 1 species
GCUGGAUUACCUCCUUUCUAAGGAAGACCAAAAAAUUUCUUUUGGUCUCAAAAAAUAAGUUAAUGUGGCCGUCCUCAUUUCUCUUCUUUUAAUUAAAGUGUCUCAUAAAUGCUUAGGGGCCGGUAGCUCAGGUGGUUAGAGCGCACCCCUGAUAAGGGUGAGGUCGCACGUUCGAGUCGUGCUCGGCCCACCAUUUUUCAUGGGGGAUUAGCUCAGCUGGGAGAGCGCCUGAUUUGCAUUCAGGAGGUCAGCGGUUCGAUCCCGCUAUCCUCCACCAAUUUUGACACUUUUAGUUUUUUUAAAUUGUAAAUAAUGAAUAUCAAUUUUGAUUGUUCAAACAGUAUGAACAAUCAAACAAUAUCUAUAUCCGAUUGUUCGAAUAGAUGAACAAUCAAUAAAUAUUCGAAUAGAUGAAUAUUUAAUUAAAAAUUUAAUUUAGACAGAAAAUUAUUUUCUGUGCAUAAAUCAAGCGUUUAAGGGCGUAUGGCGGAUGCCUAGGCACUGAAAGGCGAUGAAGGACGUGGUAUACUGCGAUAAGUUUCGGGGAGCUGUAUGCAGGCUUUGAUCCGAAAAUUU